rnacentral:rRNA from 1 species
UACGUAGGGUGCGAGCGUUUAAUCGGAAUUACUGGGCGUAAAGUGUGCGCAGGCGGCCGAGCAAGUCGAGUGUGAAAGCCCCGAGCUUAACUUGGGAACUGCGCUCGAAACUACUUGGCUAGAGUGUGGCAGAGGGAGGUGGAAUUCCGACGUGUAGCGGUGAAAUGCGUAGAGAUGAUGGAGGAACACCGAUGGCGAAGGCAGCCUCCUGGGCCAACACUGACGCUCAUGCACGAAAGCGUGGGGAGCAAACAGG